GGAAAACUUACCAGGUCCAGACAUAGUGAGGAUUGACAGAUUGAGAGCUCUUUCUUGAUUCUAUGGGAGGUGGUGCAUGGCCGUUCUUAGUUGGUGGAGUGAUUUGUCUGGUUAAUUCCGUUAACGAACGAGACCCCCGCCUGCUAAAUAGGUCCGUGAAUGAAUUUCAUUGACGAGACCUUCUUAGAGGGACUUUUGGUGACUAACCAAAGGAAGUUGGGGGCAAUAA
rnacentral:rRNA from 1 species